AAACCAUGCAUCGGGCAUUUUUAUAGCAAAAUUUUAAAUCACUCCCAAGCUUCAUACAAGUUCUCAUCCUCCAAUUACAUGAAAGAUGUGAUGUUGUUCCUCAAUCC